GAUCGUUUACCGUGAAAAAAUUAGAGUGUUCAAAGCAGGCAGAUUCAACUUUCUGCCACCGAAUACAUUAGCAUGGGAUAAUGGAAUAGGACCCUGUCCUCCUAUUUUCAGUUGGUUUUUCGAGGACCAGGGUAAUGAUUAAUAGGGAUAGUUGGGGGCAUUAAUAUUUAAUUGUCAGAGGUGAAAUUCUUGGAUUUAUGAAAGAUUAACUUCUGCGAAAGCAUCUGCCAAGGAUGUUUUCAUUAAUCAAGAACGAAAGUUAGGGGAUCGAAGACGAUCAGAUACCGUCGUAGUCUUAACCAUAAACGAUGCCGACCAGCGAUUAGGAGACGUUGAAUACAAAACACCACCAUCAGACGGCGAGCCAUCCUUGGCCGGCGCGUUUCAUGUCAAAAUGGGGCGCGUCGGUGGGGCGGUUCGUUUUUUCCCGGUGGGCCCGGUGAAUGACUCCCCUAGCAGCUGUGGAAA
rnacentral:rRNA from 1 species